rnacentral:rRNA from 1 species
UUUUAAUUGGAGGCCUGCAUGAAUGGCUUGACGAGCGCCCUGCUGUCUCUCUUCCCAUGAACUUUUAAAUUAACUUUCGCGUGCAAAGGCGCGAAUGGCUGAGUUAGACGAAAAGACCCUAUGCAUCUUUACUGAGAGAGAAGAAAGUUCUUUAGCUUGGUUUAGCUGGGGCAGCUGAGGAAAAGGCAAAAUUUCCUUAAUAUAAAUCAUACUGGUGGGUUUAGAUCCAGGCUCUUUAGCGGGCUUGACAAGUAGAAAAGUUACGCUAGGGAUAACAGCGUUAUCCUUCUGUGGAGGUCUUAUCUGCAGGAGGGAUUGCGACCUCGAUGUUGAAUUAGGGAUAUACCAGAAAGGCGCAGAAGCUUUUAUUGUGGGUCUGU